rnacentral:rRNA from 1 species
GACAGCAGUCGCCGCGGUAAUACGUAGGGUGCAAGCGUUAAUCGGAAUUACUGGGCGUAAAGCGUGCGCAGGCGGUUAUAUAAGACAGAUGUGAAAUCCCCGGGCUCAACCUGGGAACUGCAUUUGUGACUGUAUAGCUAGAGUACGGCAGAGGGGGAUGGAAUUCCGCGUGUAGCAGUGAAAUGCGUAGAUAUGCGGAGGAACACCGAUGGCGAAGGCAAUCCCCUGGGCCUGUACUGACGCUCAUGCACGAAAGCGUGGGGAGCAAACAGGAUUAGAUACCCCCGUAGUCCCUGUCUCUUAUAA